rnacentral:lncRNA from 1 species
ACAUCAAGGUAUUUAUAAGCUUAAAUGCAGUGGGCUUGAUUUACUGAGUUAUCAAGAUAACCCAUGAAGCUUUAAAUUCUCUGAGCUCCAAUCCUAUUGCAUUUGCUCAAGUAGUGGAGGCUUGGUAGACAGCAAGGGAUUCUGAAGCCAAAAUGAGAGAACCUGCUCUUCCUCUCUUCCCAAGACUGUAGAGUGAUUUAUGAGCUUUCCAGAUAAUAUCAAGAAUUCAGAGAAUGUGCCUCAAAGCCUCCUCCAUUUUAGCAAAGUCAUCUGCCAGUUCUGCUUUUAUUCUUAAACAAGUCUUGAGAUGUGCCGGAUCUUCUCUCAUCACUGAAUGGCUCGUGUACUGAGCAGUUCUCUACCCAGUAUUUACUUGAACAAUUCAGAUCACCCUGCCACGAUGAUGACGGCAGUUGCAUUUGUCUCUGCUCUUUUCUCUGACUUUUGAGAAUCGAGGCAAUUUAAAUGGUGUGGAGGAUGCUACUGACAUGGGGCCUUUUUGGCCUCCACUCUCAGCUCUUGAUCUCCAUCUCAACUUUCAGCUUUUCACCAGAGGCGGCAUUGUAUGCAGGAAAGAAGAUGGGUUCUCUACCUGGCUGAUGCCGUGUUGCCUGUUCCUUUACUGUACACGUGGUUGACAAAGAAAAGAGAAGAUGGAGCCUCCAUGCUGAACAUGCCUGGCUCCCAGGUAGCCUUUUCCUAUUGCAACAGCUGCCAUCAUUCGCCCGUGCAAGCUUCCUUAUCACAGCGUGUUUAUCUGUGAUUGCAGCUCUAUUUUACAGGCCACUCUUUGUUAGAAAAGAAAUGAUUUUGGGGCUGCUUUUUGUUAAAAGGGAAGACUUACCGAGGACUCCCUUACUCUCACUCUCUGCCUAACUAAUUUCUUUUUAGCUCUUGUAUCAUUGAUGGAGAGUCAGGUCUAUUUUGGCACAUUAAGUUCAUUCUAUUGAUCAGACAUGCAUAUACAUUGUACAAGAUAGCUGAGUGGGGAUGGAAGAGAUAAAAAAUGGGUAGCUAUUGUUGCAGCCUCAGCAAAUGAAUAAUCAAUGGGAAGGGAUAACUCAGGUCUAGAAAUAGAUGCAAUUCACCAUAGUUUGUUAUCAAUGCUAAAAUAUAGCUACAGGCAGUCAUAGUAGGCUUCCUUUUUGGUGACUGAUGGAUACUUGCCAUUAUACUAUUUAAUUUAUAUUAUGUCCAUUAACACUACAUGACAACUCCCUAUAUGGUAUUUUAGGAAACUGAGUAACAGAAAAAAAAAAUAAGUUAUUUGCUCACGGUCAGAGCUAAGAAGCCAAGGAGCCAGGUUUCAAAUGCAGAUCACCAGAUCCUUGCUCUGGGGCACACUUUGGAGACACAAACGAAGGCUUAACUAUUUCUGGCUGGAGCAAUCACAGAAUGUCUCAUAGAAGUGGCAUUUCAGCUGGGUCUUGAGGGGUACAUAUGUUAGUGAUGGAGUGAGGAGAGGGAAUAAAGUCAUCAAAGACAUGGAGAUGGAAAAGUACAGAGAUUGUUUAAGGACCUGAAAAGAAGUCUGAUUUGGUAGCAGCAAAGUGAGAGUAGAGGAAGAUGAAACAGAGAGGCGGAAGCCAGCUGGGAGUCAGGUGGCCGUGCAAUGAUCAUAAGCCAUAGAUUCCUAGAAUUGUGGGAAGGCCCAGAGCAAAUCACAGCUGUCUAGACUGGUUUUCUUUGUAAAACAGAAAUAGAAUAAGAUCUUAAACUCACGUUCCAAUUCUGGAUCCAUGCUUUCCUGUCCAGGAACAGCUUCCCCUUCCACUUUCUACCUCUGUCCAUGAGAGAAGCAAAAUGUGUCCAUCCUUCUGCCCUCGCCCAAUCCUCCACUAACUCCUCCCUAAAGCAGAGCAAGUGGUUUCCUGGUUGGUGAGGACAUGAGAGUGUCACUGCGCUGGAUUUUACUGGUGGUUGGAAUUCCUGAAAUUCCUGAAUGGUUAAUGACAAGCCCACCCCAGUUACUCUACUGCUGUGUCCUGUGUCCACAUGGUAAACUCUCUGCUUCUGGCCAAAGACCUUGGUGGAUGCUGCUGACUUGCCAUAAGAUCUUUUCUUUUAAGACGGAGUC